GAUGAACGCUGGCGGCGUGCUUAACACAUGCAAGUCGAACGGAAAGGCUCCUGCUUGCAGGGGUACUCGAGUGGCGAACGGGUGAGUAACACGUGGGUGAUCUGCCCUGCACUUCGGGAUAAGCCUGGGAAACUGGGUCUAAUACCGGAUAGGACGAUGGUUUGGAUGCCAUUGUGGAAAGUUUUUUCGGUGUGGGAUGAGCUCGCGGCCUAUCAGCUUGUUGGUGGGGUAAUGGCCUACCAAGGCGUCGACGGGUAGCCGGCCUGAGAGGGUGUACGGCCACAUUGGGACUGAGAUACGGCCCAGACUCCUACGGGAGGCAGCAGUGGGGAAUAUUGCAAAAUGGGCGAAAGCCUGAUGCAGCGACGCCGCGUGGGGGAUGACGGCCUUCGGGUUGUAAACUCCUUUCGCUAGGGAAGAAGCGCAAGUGACGGUACCUGGAGAAGAAGCACCGGCUAACUACGUG
rnacentral:rRNA from 1 species